UAGUGUUGCUCUCCACCAAUUGCAAUUCAUUCAAAAUUUUGACCAAAUUGCAAUUUGUUUUAUAAAAUCAAAUUGUUCAACUGGUCAGAAAUUUGAACCAACUGCUGUAGAAAACCACAGCCAAGUCAUGAAAGUGCAAGGUGAUAAAAUAAAACAUACUUACAAUCCUAUAAGACUUUAACUCCCUUUUAAUGAUGUUGUGACACAAUUAGUUUAUCAGUUUGUAUAGUUAUAUUAUAGUCAUUUCCAUGCUGAAGGGGAACUGUUUAUUUUGAAUUGCUAUUAAAUUGUCCAAACUAAGCUUUCAUAUAGUUUU
rnacentral:lncRNA from 1 species